UACCAACUGAUCAUGAAAUUAGAGUGAC
rnacentral:piRNA from 1 species